GGGGGGUCCAAAAAGCAGAAUUUCCCAGUUAGCUGGAUAACUUAAGCAAAACGUGAAAACGGUCCAUUAGGAGGAGAGGUAAGCGACCUUCAUAUGAGACAAUCCUUACAUUUGGUUUAAGAUAUCUGGCUAAUGAAAAAGUACUGCUUUGUGGAAUACACUCCUUUCCAAUUCCCCGCCACUCAUGUUUUGUGUCCAGCUAAAAUUUCAGUUAAAUAGGAAGCAAAAACAGCGCUGGAAAAUCAUGCAACAACAAACUAGCACCAGUCUUCCAUUAAGCAAAUUCAAAAAUCUACCAAUUGCAACUUUUGGUCAAAGCAUAAGUUAGAUUAAACUUUAAAUUAUCAUGUUUGGGCUUUAACGUAUUCAUUGAGGGACAGCAGGGACGUCUGCAGGCAGCAAAACAGGAUGAGAAAUACACAUGGAAAAGAGUUUGGCGUCUGACCCCCUUGUGUUUCCACUGUGUGUAUUUGGGUUCGAUGCUCGUUGGGUGCCUGCUGCAGUCCUGUUCAGGACAAUAAAAAUAGCGUAUUCUUUUGCGGGAAGCAAGUCUCCUCGUUCUUCACUGCUCUCGUGAUUCCUCGGCCUGCCUGGGGUACAUUGGUGUCAGGCGUGAGAUGCUGGAAGCGAUCCUGCUGGCACAGCUGGAGCGGGCGCUGUACAAGAUCAUCUGGCAAGCCUGUUCCACGCCUGGCGAGCCUCGAGACGGCUGAGACGCGGCAGCACGUGAGGAGGACGACUAGGGACACGAAGCUCGUCUGCUGGUGCUGCCAGACAGAUGGGCACCAGGCACACCAUUGCAGCAUUGGCAGACAAGCAGGGGACUCUGGAGCAAGGAAAGCACCCUCCGCUCCAUCCAAGACGCACUGGCACAGCCUGCCCUGAAGCCGUUUCUGCCGGCCCGUCGGACUUGCGUCUAAGACAGCGACAUUGUCAAGCUGGAGACCAUGGAGCAGGAGUGAUGGGAGAUGGAGUGGCUGCGUGUUGAGCUGGCCAGCUGGGACCAGGAGCGUGACUGCAAGGCGUGCUUGGCUGAGGCAACGGAGGCUGCAUUACGGGGUCAUGAGACAGUGAGGCGGAGGACGGGAGGAGGCAUGUCACAGUUAGAAACCCAGCUGGCCGAGAAGCACCACGAGCUGCUGGAGGUGGAGGCACAGCACAUGCAGGAAAUCUGCGAGUGGUGCGAGGAGGAGGCCUGCUUGGCCCACCUCUGAGAGACUAUCCACCUGGAGCACGAGCAGUUGUGUAGGGCCGCCCGACUCUGUGAGCAGGAGCCCCCGUGGCAGGACCUGCCUGCUGCACAAUGUCAGGGCCCCACCCAGUGGAGGAGGAGAAAGAGGGGCCAGGAGGAAGCCGCAAUAGAACGUGACCGCAGCCAGCCCAUGUGCUGGCUAUCCCCGGAGAAGGGGGUGUGGAUGUGGGAGUCGAUGGGUCCCGGCCAGGGAAACCCCUUGGAAGAGGCAUUAGGUCCCCUUAAGAGGAAGGGUUGGCACCGGGGGGGGACCUGCUGUGGCAGCGCUUGCCAGCAGCUGAGCCUCGCCGUUGCCCGCAAGAUCGGGAGGUGACGUCCUUCCCCUUUCUUCAUUGGAGGCUGCCAUUGGACCCCUGGGACUUGGUGGGGACUGGGGGUGGUGGUCACUGGGACAGUUGACCUUUGAGGGGAGGGCAGUGUAGCACCGACGGAGGUCAGCAUAUCCUAGCAUGCCCACAGGCAAUUGUAAAUAGCCCCUGUCUGUAAUUGUAAAUAGCCCAUGUUGUAUUGUUGUUGUUGUUGUUAAUGGUUGCAUUUCCCUAUUGUUGCGCACGUGUUUGCCCAUGUCUUAUGUUUCCGCUGUGUGUAUUUGGGUUUGGUGCUCAUUGGGUGCCUGCUGCAGUCCUGUUCAGGAAAAAGCAUGUUCUGUUCCGGCAA